rnacentral:lncRNA from 1 species
CAUAAGCAUAAUCCCUAGCACACUUUCAAGCACCGCAGUAUUUCUCUAACAGUCUUCAGAUUUGUUGAUGUGACUGCAUGCAUACUUCUGUGUGGUAUCUGUUCAUUCAAGCUGGAAAUUUGUGGAUUACUGUGAUAAAUGGUUCUCUAGGUUUUGUUUCUAGUCAUGUUUAGAUUUGGCUUUGGACCUGCUGUGCUCAGUCUAUGACAGGGUAAGAAGGAGCAUUUCAUAGCAUUCUGAGGAACUAUCCAUGCUGUCCUUUUCUCCCUUGGAGGCAAUCUACAUUUCAAGAUUUUGGCAACAAAAGGUAUUAUCAGUUUCAUUCCCAAUGUGUUAUUUUAUACUAUUUGAAUAUUCGUGUUUAAGAUCAAUUUCAUUUUCUGAUACAUUUAUAUUUGGAUUUUACUGCAGAUGUAACUAGUUUGUGUAUAUCUAACUCAUGCAGUAUGCACAUGGCCCUCUGAAGCUAUGACAAAAGAGAUCAUUAGAGUCCAAAGCCUGCGAAAACUUCAUGCGAUUGUCAGACCUUCAACAGAGGCUUUUGUUCCUCUUCCCUCCUCUGCCAUGUCAUUUUUGUCCAUAGAAUUCUACAUUUCCAGUGCUAUGUCCAG